rnacentral:lncRNA from 1 species
CUCACGUGACCACGUGGAUCCGAAGCAGAGCAGACCUGGCUCUGCUUUCCAUCCCACGCGUAGCCACAUCUGGGAAGCAAAUCAAAGAGGGGACACUGCACAGCGAGAGCCUGGGGAGCCUGCGGAACUGAAGGACCAAGGCAGCAGUUGCCUCUUUACCCGUCCUUUGCUUGGGUAGCUCUGCCGCCUCAUGUACUCAGCUGGGGAGGCGGCCAUGCCAGGCACCUGGCGCAGUUACAGAAAUCCUCUUAAUGCUGAAAACAAGUGCCUUGUUCUUGGAGCACCACAGAAGGGAAGAUGGCUCUUUCUGGGAGAGUUUUACCUGCAGUAAAGUGAAAAGAAAUAUGGUACCACGUACAACUAACACAAUGGCAUUACUACUACUGAUGCAAUAACAUCCAUAACUACCACUGCACUUCCGAUGACCUGCAUUUUGGUUAUGCCUG